rnacentral:lncRNA from 1 species
AAAGAUUAAGGUCUUGUACUUGAGGAUCCUUCUAUUAUGUUGGGAUACAGGCAGUUGUCCUUGUUUUCUGCAAUUUUUUGUAUUUUACGUCAAUGAUGACUCAUCUUCUAAAUUACUUUUCAGCAAUAUUUCUUAUUAGAAAAACUAAAUUACUUACAUAAAUGGACGGUUAAUGUGCUCACGCUGUCAAUCUUGGGAAACCUCUUUUCGGUAACUCUUAACGGCUAUUCUUCUAUAGCUUGCUCUCUUACUAUUGAGCUAUUUUUUCCACUGUUAUUGAACAUUUGGUUUAACUUAAACUUUAUGUGUUUUAACACGUGUUUGGUCUUGCAAAUUAUUACCAACUCACUAGUGUAACCUAUCAAAGUAAAUCAAAUUGUACAUUUACUAGCUUUGUUGAAAUUACUAAUUCACUGUAUCUACUCAAAACUUACUAUUCUUUUAUUAACAACCUGCUAGCAUCUUGUUUUCUAGUUCUUAUUUGAUUGACUAAAGUGAAAUACAAGGGUAUUCCUAACUUCCCUCCCCAUCUGAAAGUAUUCUACGACCUCAUACUAUCAUUUUUUUAAUUAUGUACAUUGGACCAGACAUAGAUAAAUUUCAUCUAUCAUAAAUAGAAAUUGGAAUAUCUAACCCCAAAUUUUCUAUACACUCCAAAAUCAUAUCAGACUAUGAACACCUGGUAACAAACCCUUAGUCACAUAACCUAAGGAGGAACUGUGUUAUUCUUUAUCUCACAAUAAUAGUGGUUUCCCAUUCGUAAAUCAUAUCUUCGUGGUCAUAUGCAUGAGUUGUAUGAAAAAUACAUCCUUGGUAGUAAAAAACAUUUCGGACUCACUAAGUAUUUUGCCAUAUGGCUAUUUUCUAUAUAAAACAAUAGUGAUCCACUUUAUGCUCGCUAUGGUUAAAUCCUUAACUUGUUACACCAUAGGGUCUGACGUCUAAACUAUCAUUAUCCAAUAUGUGGCUCCAUUUCCAAGAAUUAAAAAUGCCACACUUUCAUGACGUAAAACACAUAUAGAUACACUACCAUACGCGAACAUGUCCUUCAAUAGUGUACCAUCAUUUCAUAAAUCACUUCAUGUACCAUUCCGUGACUCUUGGAUCUUAAUCCGUACCUAACUUAGGUAAACUGAUAAUCAUACAUAAUAUAUUUUUUUUUGUACUUUCUGAUAAGGUUAUGCUCUAGUUUGUACUAUUACACAUUGUAUCCCACUUUUAACGUCAUCCCAACUCUUAUUUGUUACCAACCCAUACUCUAUAAUUAUACCCCAAUGGGCAAAUAUCCCCUCUCGGACCUUGAGUUUUUUCUGCUUGUCUCUUAGGAAUUCGGUGUAUCUAGAAUUCGAAAGGAAGAGAAGGUUAGACCUAUUGCUCUAGGCUUCAUGGCACGAUCUAAAGUAGAAAGAAGAAAAUCCUGUCUGUCUUUGUAUGUGCCAUUUAUACAAGUAGUCGGCACACACAUAGAAAGAAAAUUCGACUGAACACAACUUCAUAGUCUCCCUAAGAUUGUUGAACUUAGGGCUUUAAUACCAAGCUUCCUCACGCCCCGAACCUAGGCCUGGACGUAACACGGCACCCGAUGCCAAAGUACAAGUGAUCGAGCAAAAUAACUUGCUGGCUAAAUAACAAUGUGAUAUCAUAACAUACUGAAUGCAUAAGAUAAACUAGAACACGCUAAUAUACUAAAAUUCUAAAUGAUACAAAAUCAAAAAAGCGAAAACAUUAAUAUAAUUCUAAAACAUAUCUGUAGCAAACAUUUCUUAACAUGAAAAACCUGUGACUCUGCCUAACUAUUAAUCUAGUCUAUGAAGACUUUAAUGAAGUACGAAAAACACUAACUGUAUGAAAAUACUAAAGAUCGCAAGCUAAUGAUAAUGCCCUGAAAGAACUAUGAUCACUAAACAGCUGGUACAAGAAACCUAGUACUCUAAAUCAUCAACCUGUAAAUCAUUACCUGCAUCAUGAGAUGCAAGCCCCGGGUAAAAGGAAUGUUAGUACAUUUGAAUUGAACUGGUAUGUAAAUAAACUGAUAGAAAGAACUAUAAAUGUUAAAACUAAAAUUAAACUGAUAAUUGAUAACUGGAACAUAUACUAAUAAUUGAUAGCUGAACUGAUAACCGAUAACUGAACUGACCAAAGGGAAUAAGGAUAUGAAUAGUGUCUCUUCUGAAUGAUGAACAACUUGUUUAUCUGAAUAAAUAAACUACUGCCUCGGUCAAAAUAUAUAUGUGCACAAAUUGCGGCCUCAAGCCCAAGUAUACGUAUAUAUAACUACGACCUCAAGCCUAAAGAUGUAUGAAGCAUAAACUGUAACCUCGGGACCAAAUACAGGUGUUUAACAUUCACGGAUUUAAAAAUAAGAACUAAAAAUCACACUGUAAUAUAUAAUAUUGAAAUUCUAAACCAUACCGAGUUCAUUAAGUAUGUAAACUGAGUCUGAAACUAACUCAGAACGAGUGUACAACAGAUGUUGGUGAACGAUAAAUAUCAAGUAAAAUAAUGGAGAUUAGUUAUACGAGAGAAUUAUGAUUAAACUGCAACCUCAAAAUUGCACUAAGAAAGUAUACUGGAAUACUGGCUCUAAGGGCUCUCUUAGCAAACUGCCAUAUCAACAACCUUUUUCUUAGAUCAAACUACACAGCUUGUGGUAAUCACUCAACAACAACAACAACCCAGUAUAAUCCCACAUAGUGGGGUCUGGGGAGGGUAGUAUGUACACAGU